AGCUUCAGGAAUAGAUCUGAGGUUAGACCUGCCCAAUGUACGUAAAUGAAUGGCCGCGGUACUUUGACCGUGCUAAGGUAGCGCAAUAGAUUGGCUUUUAAUUGGAGUCAGGUAUGAAUGGAGUCACGUAGUUUAGCUGUCUCUAUUUUAAUUAAUUGAAAUUACUAUUUAGGUGCAAAAGCCUAGACUGAGAAGGAGGACGAGAAGACCCUUAGAGUUUUACUUAAAUAUAGUAUAUUUACUCAAGCAGUUUAGUUGGGGCAACUUGGGAGCAUAAAAGAUAAAUAUUAAAUCUCCUCUUUUUAUAAGCCGAUAGUAAUAAGUAUAAUUAAACUACCUUAGGGAUAACAGCAUAAUUUAUUAAAUAAGUUUGUGACCUCGAUGUUGGACUAGGAAGCCGUAAGGUUAGCCGCCUUACGGGGAGGUUCUGUUCGAACUUUAAUUCCU
rnacentral:rRNA from 1 species